CCAGCCUCAUCCCACAGGGAUCCUCUUGUCCCUUCCCUGCUGGCUGCUGCCAAGGAAGGAGCACACAACUACACCAGGUUUUCAGCUACAUGAAUGGCAUCAUCUGUGCCCACUGCUCGUUAUUCACCCAACCAAAAUCAAGAGCAAAUGUUGGUUGGGCUUUAAGAACUUGAAAUAAAUUUAAAUCAAAAUAAAUCACCUUUUUCUUCUGGG